rnacentral:misc_RNA from 1 species
GCUCCGUAGGUGAACCUGCGGAGGGAUCAUUACAGAGUUCAUGCCCUACCGGGUAGAUCUCCCACCCUAUGUUAUUAUUACUUUGAUGCUUUGGCGGGCCGUUAGGCUCCGGCCCGACUACCGGCCCCGGCUGGUAAGCGCCCGCCAGAGGACCCAAAACCCUGAAUAUUAGUGUCGUCUGAGUACUAUAUAAUAGUUAAAACUUUCAACAACGGAUCUCUUGGUUCUG